AGCGAACGCUGGCGGCAGGCCUAACACAUGCAAGUCGAACGAAGCCUUCGGGCUUAGUGGCGGACGGGUGAGUAACACGUGGGAACGUACCUUUUGGUUCGGAACAACUCAGGGAAACUUGAGCUAAUACCGGAUGAGCCCUUAGGGGGAAAGAUUUAUCGCCGAAAGAGCGGCCCGCGUUAGAUUAGCGAGUUGGUGAGGUAAAGGCUCACCAAGGCAACGAUCUAUAGCUGGUCUGAGAGGAUGAUCAGCCACACUGGGACUGAGACACGGCCAAGACUCCUACGGGAGGCAGCAGUGGGGAAUCUUGCGCAAUGGGCGAAAGCCUGACGCAGCCAUGCCGCGUGAAUGAUGAAGGUCUUAGGAUUGUAAAAUUCUUUUACCAGGGACGAUAAUGACGGUACCUGGAGAAAAAGCCCCGGCUAACUUCGUGCCAGCCGCCGCCGUAAAAC
rnacentral:rRNA from 1 species